GUACGAACUUCAUAUACCAUUCUGUAAAAUAAUAAUCUGCAUUGUCCCUGAUAAUGUAACAAUCAACCAAUGUAAUGCCAGUUUUGAAUUUUAUAGCGGGCUGAGAUGAGUGAAUGGCCUUUUGCAUAAACGCUAGGUUAGCGAGCAUUGAGUUGUGAAAUAAAUUUUCUGCCCUUUUUACCUCGACAGAAAGCCUAAGGUACUCUGGGCUGGCCUGGACAAGAAAAUGGUUGCCAGAAGGAAGACAGAUGUCUCAAGAGCAGUUAACCAGAUGUCUUUGUGACGCCUCCAUGCGAAUCCUCUUCUUGAACGCCAGGUUCCCUGGUUCAUGCCAUGACCCAGCUGUAUGGGCUGCCUGCAACCUGCGGCAAGCCACCUCAACCGUAUUUGAAGAAGGAGGGUGGCUAGUUGGCCACCAACCAUGACAGUGGCUACCUCCUCCAACCUUGGCUGAUGACACCAGUCCGCACACCAACGACACAAGAAGAAAAAGACUACAAUGAUUCACACAGCAGGACCCGCGUGUGCAUUGAACAAUGCUUUGGGUUGUGGAAGAUGCGGUUCCGGUGCCUACAGUGGUACCGCACGCUGCACUUUGCUCCUGAUCGAAGCUGCAGAAUCAUUAAUGCCUGUGCUGUGCUUCAUAAUAUGUGUUUGGCGUACAACACUCGGGAACCUCUCGAUGAUACAGAUGAAGGUGAUGGGCCAAGUGGGGAAGAGGUGGAACGUGGAGCAGCAGUGGAGCAGCAGGGGAGGCAGAGGAGGAGGGAGCACAGGAAGAGGGAGAGCAUGACCCUCAGCCUAUGAGAAAUCGUGCAGCACAACUUAAAAGCCAGCUCAUUGCGCAUGGUUUUAGAAGAAGAGGAUAACCUACCUCAUAGA